AGGCCGCUCACCUUAAGGACGCAGAGUGGCGUCAGAUUUGGAGAAGCGCCGGGGACCGUGGAGGAAGUCAUCGGCCUGGAUUUCUUUGGAUUUGCAGAUAGGGUUCCAGCAGAACUGGAAGGUGGGCGAGACAGGCCCUGCGCCACCAUUUGAGCAGCGCUGGGAUAUAAAACCAUCUGCUAGCCCUCUCCUUGCACGUCUGGGGCUGGAAAAAGUAGUUCUGGGACUGGGUACGGUGCUGGAAGGGGUACUAGGCAGGAUGAAACGACGGGGCCCACGACGCUCCAAAAGGAAGCCUUCUGGACAUAUUUCCUGCCUAAGUGCUCGCUCUGGGGUGGCAGAGGGGUCCACCCAAAAUCAGACAGAGCUAGGCUAGGCUGAGCCCUUCAGGAGCUCACAGUCUCCUGUAGUUUCCAAACCCUAACACAAUUAACCAAGGAAUGUAAAUGUCUAUAGCAGUUGUUUUAGAAGUUCCUUGAGAACAAAAAGGGAAGUUAUUAAAUCUGAAGGAGUGGAUCUGGAAAGGUAAAAGGAAAGCUGCAUAGGUUUUCACUAGGCAGGAAACAGUGGCAGGGCAUUCAUUUAAAAGGCAUUCCAUUCCAGGCAGGAGCAAGGCCAAGAAAGCAUAGAGGUGAAGAAACUUUAAGGUCACAUAACAAAGGGCCUUGAACUGAAACCAUGCAAAAGAGUUUGUUGUGUAAACCCAAGGUCAAGCUACAAGGCAAACACCGUUUUCUCAACACAUCAAUAUACCCUCUUUAAAAAUGAGCUUUUCCUUGGAACUAUUCCUUUAAGAUAUCUGUCUUCUGAUUAUAUGGAGGUGGUGUAGGCCAAGACUCGGAAACAUGCAGUAUUGAUUUUGGUACAAGAAACAACUCUAGGUACUCUGAGGAGUUUGGCACAGAGGUUCAAAAAAUGAGCCUUAGUUCUCAGUAAGUCUUCACACUACAGCUUUUCUUUUUUAAUAUUUGUUUUACUGUGCCAGACUCUACAGCUCUGUCCUCAAAGAGCACAUAAUCUUUAGGGAAACUUACAGGAGAACAGCAAGGUCAGGAGAACUACAAGUAGUUCCUUAUAUCUUGAUGACAGACCCAGAUACAGAUUUUAUUCCUGCCAUUUACUAGCUAUUUGAUACCGGAGAUGACGUUUAACUUUCUUUGCUGCUUCAUCUACAAAAGGGGGGUAAUUAUACUAAUACCUAUGAAAGAGGGGCAUUUUCAGGCCUAAAUAACAUAGCAUAUGUAAAGCCCUUAGAGUUUUGUCAAUGCUCCUACAGGAAUACUGUAGUUGAAGAAGUUGGGAUUAUUACUCAGGGAGGGAGAACAUGCACUAUGGGGAGCCAUGAAGUGUCUUAGGUAAAUGGUAUUAGAAAGCACUUAAAGGAUUUGGGCUUUGAUUAGGUGAUUUGGGAAAGACUCCGUGGAAAGAGGUGGGAAGGGUUGCUCAAGAUUAAGUGCCUUCAGGAAGUGGAGACAGUUCAGUGAUUAUCUUAUCUAGGAGGAUGGCAGGCUAAAAGACAAGCCUAAAGCUGUAACUGACAAGCAUUAGUCAUCCAUAUCAUGGAGAGAGGGGAAUGUUUGAUUUUGAAAGACAAAACAAAUUAAAGAUCUAAUUGGCUUUUAUUUGCAAUUCCAGAAUAGGCAAAACUUCAUUCUCUAAAAUAGAAUCUGUUCCAAUGAGCUAAGCAGAGGAGGUUGGCUUUAUAGGCAGAAAAAAGCUAGAGAACAGAAAUAAGGAAUGAGAAGCAGAUGAGUUGUUUCAAAGUUACUUUCCUUAUAGGGUUAAAACAGGGGAACUUUCUUAGCAUACCAGCUCAGAUAAACUUGGCCCCUUCUGAUUGGGUGCUAUGAAUUUCCUGCUUUUUGGAAAACUGGCUGGUUUCAGAGUUGCUUUUGAUUAUGUGGCAAUACGCAUGAGGGACCAUUCUGCUUUGGUCUGGUCUGCCGGAGCCUAGUGCAGCAGAUUAGUCCAAAACUAAGGUUAGUCUAUAAUCAUUUCCCAUGAAUUUAUUUAACAUUGAUAUUUUCUGAUUUGCAUACUGACCUUGUUAUUGUCUGUGCUUAGACAAAACAUGGAAGUGAUCUUGUUUUGUCUCACUUCAUCAUGGUCACAGAGUGACCCUGUCUGAUAUUGCUGUUCUGUGAGAUGCUGUUCAUCAGGAGAACAACAUGGCCUAGCUAUGAGUGUCAGGCCAGUUUCUAAAAACACUGAGGCUUAGCUAUAAGUGUCAAACUAGUUCCCUGAUGUCAGGGACUGCUCCUUUCUUUCUCAUGUCUUUGCCACAUAGAAGGUACUAAAUAUAAGUAAACAGGAGCCAUGAUAAUUAAUUUUCAAGUUUACGUACAGCACUCUGAAUUUUUUCUCAUAGAAAUGCACUGGAACUUCAGUGUACUAGUGAAAAUAUCUUUGUAUAAGUUUUAUGUUUUUUAAAGUACAUUUUAUAUGUGUGCCCCAACAUACUUAAACCUCAUAACAGCAUGCACUGACCCUCAUUUUGAUCACCCAGCGAGAUGAUACACCCCAGUGAGUCAAUAGUCAUGGAAAUAGAAAGUUGAAGGUGAAAAAAAAGGCCUGGAAAAGCUUGGAAUCUAGGAAUAUAUUUCUUCCCUUUAUCAUUUCUGUUCAGUGUCAACAUCCAGAAAAUUAUUAAUGCCUUUCUUUUGAUGGCUCACUCUUAUGGACCAUAUGAGAAAGUUGUUGAAAGCUGAGGGAAGGAAGUGAUUAUCCUUAAUCAAUUUUUUUAAAUGAGAUGUCAUUUACCCUCAUUAAAUUGGCAAAUACUACAAAGUUCCAUGUUUCCAAGUUUGGGCCAAGUUGGGAAUUCCUAGAUAGAUAGUGGAAGUGCAAAACAGGUAUAGGCACUUUGGACAAAAACUUGGUAAUACCUAGUAAAGGUGAAGGUAUGUGUACCUAUGACCCUGCAAUUCCAUGUCUAGAUGUCUCCCUGGAAAAGCCCAAACAUACACCUACAAAGAUAUUUCUUGAACACUUCUGCCAUAUUAUGAUUAUCUAUAUAUGUAUAUAUAUAUAGAUACAGAUUUUCACCCAUGGUUCCUAGUUCAUAAGUUUCAUAACUCUUGUUACAGCCUUUUGUUAUAAUGUGAGAGUGCUUUAGGCCUCAGAAGUAGGCCUCAGGGAACAGAAUCUCUCUCUGGGAACUUCUGCUCUCCUUUCACCUGCCCAAGACAGGAAUCUAAUCUGAUGGUGGGUCAUAAGACCCUCAGGCCAGAGAGAGUCCUGCCCCACGCUCUAGAGAAAGGAAUGCUGCACAGAGAGACCAGGAAAAUCUGAACAGAACAGACAGGCCUUGCUGGGUUUAGAGCAUACCCUUUUGUGCAAUCACAUUUCGACACAAUUAUCCAUGCUUCAAUCAUGAACAACCAAUGAAGUCUACAUAAAACGCAGGGUUCAGAGAGCUGAACACAUGGAGGCUGACAGGAAGGUGAACAGGAACUCAUCCACAUUCUGGGAGGGUGGUGCACUUCAACUCCACAGGGAUAGAAGCUCAUUCAGGGCCCUUCCAGACCUCACCCUAGGUAUCUUGUCAUCUGGCUGUUUAUCUAUAUCCUUUAAAAUCUCCUUCAUGAUAAACCAGAAAAUGUGUUUCCUGAGUUCUUUGUGCCUCUCUCCAAAUUAAUCCAGCCCAAAGAAGGUAUAAUGGAAACCCCUGCUUGAAGCCAGUGGAUCAGAAGUGCUAGAGGCCCAGACUUGUGAUUGAUGGGAAGGAGGACGCAAUCUUGUAGGACUGAGCCCUCAACCUGUGGGAUCUGACACUAUCUCUGGAUAAGGAGUAUCAGAACUGAAUUGGAAGACACUCAGCUGGUGUCCACAGGAGAACUGAUUGCUUGCUUGCUGGUGGGGAGAAAUCCUUACAUAUUUUGGGGUCACAGAAGUCUUGUGUGUAGAUUGUUGAUGAGCAGAAGAAAAACAGUUUGAGAGUUUUUCUUUUUUUUUUUUUUGGAGGGAGACAGUCUCACUCUGUCGCCAGGCUGGAGUCCAGUGGCGUGAUCUCGGCUCACUGCAACCUCCGCCUCACGGGUUCAAGUGAUUCUCCAGCCUCAGCCUCCCAAGUAGCUGGGACUACAGGUGCAUGCCACCACGCCCAGCUAAUUUUUUGUAUUUUUAUUAGAGACGGGUUUCACCAUGUUGGCCAGGAUGGUCUCGAUCUCUUGACCUUGUGAUCCACCUGCCUCGGACUCCCAAAGUGCUGGGAUUACAGGCGUGAGCCACCGCCCGGCUGAGAGUUUUUUCUAAACACUUCAUAGAAGCAAAAAUGGGUAACCUAACUGUCCUAUAGUCAGGGAAAGAGCAAGAGAUUACAGUGUGAAAGAGCUGUUACAGUGGAAUUCUACACUACAUAUAAAAUAAAUAUCUAAACCUACAUAUGGAUACAUCUCAAAAACAGAAAAAUCAAGUCGCAAAAUAUAAACAGCAUACAAACAAAAUUGUAUAUAUACGUGUGUGUAUAUAUACAUAAUAUGUUAUAUGUAAGUGCAUGUUAUAACACAGCAAAAACACAAGGGAAUUAUACACAACAACUUCACCUACUUUGAGAGAAAAAAGGAAGAAGGGGAAGGAAUUAAAGCUGGAACUUCAUAGUUAAAAUAUCUGUAAAUGUUUUAUUUAUUAAUAGGGAAAGAUCUGAAGUAAAUCUAGCAAAAUAUUAACAUGUAUUUAAUCUCAGUGGUGGGAUAUUGGUUUCUAUAUUAUUAUUUUCUGUUUGUUGGAAAUGCUUCAUAUUAAAUUUUUAACACAAUACACAAAUUAGCAGAAAAAUAGACACUUUAGAACUAGGCCCCUUAACUUUGUUCCUCCACAAAUUCUUGGUUUAUUGGCAUUGAGCCCACGAUGAGAUAUUAAGUCUAUGUAAGAAAGUAUAAAAUAAUUAAUUUCCUUUCAGGAUGAUUUUAAGUUGAUUUUUAAUUCUGGAUAAUAAAAUAUAUUAUUUCCCCUCCACCUUGCCUUUCCACUUUCUUCUAUUCUCUCUUCUCACAUCCCUUUUUCUUCUCUCCCUUAAAGUAGUGCAGAGACAGAGUCAAAAGACAGGAAAACAUUUCACUCUUCCAGUUUCAGGUUAGAUUAAAAAUUCAGUUCUUUACCAUGCAUGCUUUCCAAGUGGUCAGUAUAUUAAAAGAAGAACCAUUCAGUUACCUGUCUAAUUCAAUGCCUAAUUGAUUUAAUUUCACAACUUUCAUUAUUAUUUCACCAUCUGACUACAGCAGAAAUAUACCUCACUGAACACAAAUCUUAUAGCAUUUUGUGCUUAAUGACAGGGUAUUAGAAUAUUAUCUUGCCAACAGCACUGACUUUGCACCUUCCAUUUCAAACCCUCAGUGAUAAGAUAUAAUGCUGUUACUUGUCUUACAGGAUUUGUGGCAUGGCACUUUCCACACUCUCCACAUGCUUGUGUGUCUUAAGAUUGCUGCUGUUUAACAAUAUAAGGUUACAUGGGAAAGAAGCAAAAUAGGUACAAAGACUAACCACUGAUAUAGUCACAUAAUGUAUGUGUCUACACUAAGGCUUCUCAACCUUGGCACCAUUGACAUUUGGGGCUGGAUAAUUGUUUGUGUGGGAGCUGUCCUGUGCAUUGCAGGAUGUUUAGCAGGAUUCCCGGCCUAUAUUCAAUAGAUGCCAGUAGCAGACCCAGACCCAUGGUUGUGACAACUAAAAAUUUCCCCAGACAUUGCCAAGUAUCCCUGAGGGGCUGAGUAAUAUUCCAUUAUAUGGACAUAACACUUCGAUUUGGCUUAUCCACUCAUCAGUUGAUGGACAUUUGGGACAUUUCCACCUUGUGGCUAUUUUGAAUAAUGCUGCUACAAAUACUCAUGUACAACUUUUUGUGUGAACCUAAGUAUUUACUUCUGUCACGUAUACACUGUUAAGGAAGAAAUUAUCCAUGACACUUGUUAAAGAAAGUAAGGUGGACUUUAUUCAACAAACUGCCAUCAAGGCAAGCAUAGGGACCAGUGCAAUGGGGUUUUGCAGGGCGGGAGAGAGAUUGGGCUUGACUUCCAAUACAAGAAGAUCAAGUGGGGAUUUAUAGCCAAGGAGCUGAGUUGGGGGGUCAGUGGAUGGAAAAUUACCAAGAGGAAACAUCAGGGGUAAGGAGAUUCUUGCUAAACCGACUCAACAGAAUUAUUGUUGAAGACAGACCAGAGUGAUAAAAACAGUCAGGCCAGGCAUGGUGGUUCACGCCUGUAAUCCCAACACUUUGAGAGACCGAGGUGGGUGGAUUGCCUGAGGUCAGGAGUUGGAGACCAGCCUGGCCAACAUAGUGAAACCCCAUCUCUGCUAAAAAUACAAAAAAUUAGCUGGGUGUGGUGGCAGACACCUGUAAUCCCAGCUACUCGGGAGGCUGAGGCAGGGAGAAUCACUUGAAUCUGGGAGGCAGAGGUUGCGGUGAGCUGAGAUCGUGCCAUUGCACCCCAGCCUGGGUGACAGAGCAAAGUUCUGCCUCAAAAAAAAAAAAAAAAAAAAAAAAAAAGAUACCAGUGGUGGGGGAUACACUGACUUAGCAGGAUUAUUGCUCAAUAUGGACUCUACAAGGACAGAUAGGGAAGCUCAAGGUCAAGCCUAGUCAGAAGGAACUCAGAGGAGGCUGACUCAAAUUUGGUCAAAGGAAAGAAUCUUUGUCAAUAUGCAGUGGAGGAAUUUCUGGGUCAUACAGUAAUCCUAUAUUUGAGGAAUUGGGCCAUUUUGCAUUCUCACCAGCAGUGCAUGAGGGUUCUAAUUUCACCACAUCCUCAUCAACAAUAUUUUAAAAUCUGACUUUUUGAAUUUAGCUAUCCUAGUGUGUGUGAAGUGGUUUUGAUUUGCUAUUUUCUGUUAAAAAAAUGUUAUUGGAAUAUAGCUACACCCAUUCCUUUAUAUAUUGUCUAUAGCUGCUUUUGCUCUACAAUAGUAGAGGUAAGAAGUUUUAACGGAGAUCACAUAGCCUGCAAAGCCUAAAGAAUUUGCUAUCAAACCCUUUACAGAAAAUGUUUUCUGAGCCCUGCUAAAGGAUGUUUUUUCCCUUAUUGUAUCACAAUUACUUUUGUUUGGUUAUUUCUUUUUCUUCAAUGAGAGUAGUAUUCUAGUAAAAAGUAAAUGUUAAUUUUGGACAAGUGUUCACAAUGGAGCUAAGUACUUGCCUUUGCCAUAUUAUACACCCACACAGGCUUUAAUCCUUUUUUUUUCUUUAACCUAUUUAACAAGGUCAAAAAUAUCUUGCCAUCAUAAUGAAUCACUGCGGAGAACCAAGUUGAUUUAAGGUACAUCUGAAAAGCAAAAUGAUAGCAGGAAGAGAUGGCAAAAAAAAGCCAAAUUAUUAAAAUUAUUAAAUUAUUAUAUGGAUAUGUGAUUCUUCUUAAAAUACAUUAAAGCAAUUUGUGCUCUGAUAAGUUUUCUCCAAGGUCUUAUGCUCUAAGUUCAGAUAGAAAUUCUUCAUAGGGAAUGUAAUUAGUAUAACACAGUUUAAUGUCAUGCUUAAUAGUUUCCCAGAAUGUUUUGAUUAGAAAAUUAAUCUGCCCCUGUUUGUAGAUGAUAGAGCCGUUUAAAGGAGAACAGAAAUAUUCCUAUUAGUGUGAGAUACUUAACUAAGGUUCAGUUGAAAGUGUUAGAUGUCACUACCAGAUCGUAUUCCCAGUAUUAAAUAAGUAGAAAAAAGGAAUUAGGUAAUUAUUAAGACUCUUGUAAGAUUACAGUUUAAUUCCUUUAAAGCACAAUUACUAAAACCUAAAUAUAAUUUGUUGAGUCACUUGGAAAAUAAUUUGUCUGACAAUAGCAAAUAGAAAUUAUGUCCCAAAGCUAAAAAGAAAUGUAAAAUAAACGAUAAGAAUUCUGUGGUGCCCAAUAGAGAUUUUCAAAUUGUCUGUUUCUUUCAUCUAUAUUUCUGUCUCAUCACCACAUAUGCUUUUCUUUUUAUCCUCAGGUGAAUUGCUGUGUUGUGGACAUUCCUCAAGAUCAAAUGUACAUAAAACCUGUCUGUAUCUACGUCUCUCCUUAGGGUGUCCAUUUGUGUGCAUUAUUUGCUUUCUGUUUUGUUCUUUGAACCCAUUGUAACACAAUAGACUUAAAAUUAUUUACUAAAUUUGCUUUGAUUAAGGUAUUGCUGUUUAUAUUUGGGUCAUGAAAGAGUAACGUGUAAUUAGUUGCAACAGUUACAAGGGCAAGUUAGCGUCCUUACCUUUUUGCUGAGAUGUCUGAAAUAUUUACAGUUUCUUGUGAAAUCAAGCUGUGCCUGCACACUGUCCUGACACUGCAGUCACAAGUCACCAGAUAAUUUUAUACUGCCAGAGCCUCAUUCUCAGUCUUUGAUCCCUCUUUAUUUGCUGCUGUUGAUCACAGUAUCCUUCUUGAGACUCUUUUCUCACUUAUUUCUCUCAUCAUCUCUCUAAAAAUUAUCUCCCUGACCUCUGCUUGGGCUUUUCUUUCUCUCCCCAUCUUCUAGUGGGAUGGUAUGCCUCUUUGUGUAGAAUGCUUUGAGACAGAAAGCCUGAUUUAGUUCCACUAUGUGGGCACCUUCCAAAUAAUAAAACAACUGGAGGAGUGAAUGCUUACUCAGGACAAAUCUGCCUCAGUUUAUUCAUGGGGAAAAUGAGGAGUUCAAAUUGUAUUCCCCAGACAUUCAAACUGGGAUACUCAGAGCUCUAAGCUUUCACACCAGUACUUCAGGGACCACUGCAGAAGGUGAGGGAAAAAGCAUCCAUGUGGUAUGAUUCUAGACCCUCCCUCUAGGGACGUUUAAACUGACAUUGCUUUUACCUGUUUGUUUUAUUAUUCAACACGAGGUACCAUGUGAAACAAAAAAAGAAGUCAGCAAAAAAGAAUAAAACCUUUAUUAAAUGAAAUGGGUUAUAAAUCAGUGUU
rnacentral:lncRNA from 10 species